GCAAGUCGAGCGAGAAAGCUUCCUUCGGGGAGUGAGUAGAGCGGCGCACGGGUGAGUAACGCGUGGGUAACCUACCCAGUCGACUGGGAUAACAGAUGGAAACGUCUGCUAAUACCGGAUACGUUUCAUAUUUAACUUUAUGAAAGAAAGGUGGCCUCUAUUUAUAAGCUACCACGAUUGGAUGGGCCCGCGUUUCAUUAGCUUGAUGGUGGGGUAACGGCUCACCAUGGCAACGAUGAAUAGCUGGUCUGAGAGGAUGAUC
rnacentral:rRNA from 1 species